GGAAUAUUGGUCAAUGGGCGCAAGCCUGAACCAGCCAUGCCGCGUGAAGGAAUAAGGCCCUAUGGGUCGUAAACUUCUUUUGUGGUGGAGCAAUAAGGUGUACGUGUACACCGAUGAGAGUACAUCACGAAUAAGCAUCGGCUAACUCCGUGCCAGCAGCCGCGGUAAUACGGAGGAUGCAAGCGUUAUCCGGAUUUAUUGGGUUUAAAGGGUGCGUAGGCUGUGGGGAAAGUCAGGGGUGAAAGCCCGGCGCUUAACGCCGGAACUGCCUUUGAUACUUCUCUGCUGGAAUACGGAUGCCGUGGGAGGAAUGAGUAGUGUAGCGGUGAAAUGCAUAGAUAUUACUCAGAACACCGAUUGCGAAGGCAUCUCACGAAUCCGUCAUUGACGCUGAGGCACGAAAGCGUGGGGAUCAAACA
rnacentral:rRNA from 1 species